GCGACGCCGAGCGGAACCCGAAAACCUGUCUCAGUUCGGAUCGGAGUCUGCAACCCGACUCCGUGAAGCUGGAUUCGCUAGUAAUCGCGCAUCAGCCAUGGCGCGGUGAAUACGUUCCCGGGCCUUGUACACACCGCCCGUCAAGCCAUGGAAGCCGGGGGUGCCUGAAGUGUGCAGCCGCAAGGAGCGCCCUAAGGUAAAACCGGUGACUGGGGCUAAGUCGUAACAAGGUAUC
rnacentral:rRNA from 1 species